CAUCACCAGAAACUUGGGAGACUUUAACAGUGCUUGCUUGAAUGUAACUGAGCAGAGAGAAGGAAGUAGGCUACUCCAAUAUUAUGGCAGACAAAGGACCUAUUUUGACCUCAGUCAUCAUUUUCUACUUGUCCAUCGGAGCCGCGAUAUUUCAAAUUCUCGAAGAGCCUAAUUUGCAAUCGGCUUUAAAAGAUUAUAAAGAUAAAACUGACAUAUUAUUAAAUAAAUAUCCUUGUUUAAAGAAGGAUGAUCUGGAUGAUAUCAUUAAGGUUAUGGCCGAGGCCGCUGGAAGAGGUGUGACUGUAACAACAGAGAAACAAUUCAACAACUGGAGUUGGGAGAAUGCCGUUAUUUUUGCUGCCACCGUCAUCACUACCAUAGGUUACGGUAAUGUUGCCCCGAAGACAACUGGAGGCCGUAUGUUCUGUAUCCUGUAUGGCCUCUGUGGCAUUCCUCUUUGCCUCACCUGGAUAAGUGAGCUGGGUACUUUCUUUGCCGGCAGGGCAAAGCGCCUGAGUCAGGUGCUCCUCCACAGAGGCCUCGCCGUGAAAAAAGUGCAGUUCAUCUGCACUCUUGUAUUCCUUUUAUGGGGUUUCCUGGUUCACUUGAUCAUCCCAGCCUUUGUAUUCAUGACCAUUGAGGACUGGACUUACUUGGAAGGCCUGUAUUUCUCUUUUACCACCAUGACGACUGUUGGUUUCGGUGACUAUGUAGCAGGUGUCAACCCAGAAAACAACUACCCGAAUCUCUACAGAUUCUUUGUGCAGCUAUGGAUCUGCCUGGGUCUUGCCUGGUUGUCACUGUUCUUCAGCUGGAAUGUGCAUAUGGUGGUCGAGGCUCAUAAAGUGCUGAAAAAAAGGAGGAUGAGACGCUACAAGCUGCCCAUUGAUGACGUCCCGGAUAAAAAAGAAGUCAAAAAAGCCCAGAAGCCGCCGGGUCUCAAUGGCGCCAUCGACAUCUUUGAGUUCAUGUCUGAGAAAGUCGAAGACUACACCGAUGUCAUCCAAGCUAUCGGAGCAGCCGAGAGAAAGAAAAAGAAGCAGGAGGAAGAACUGGCACGGUCUAAGAGCUGCAGUGACCUAUUGCAGGGCCUGAUAAUCCCACUCGAUCACUCUCCUCGACUGAAACGGCGGUUCAGCGUCAGUGCGAACAUGCGCAUGGACAUUUCUGGAGAGUUAACGGAUUGCCUCAACAAUAACCAAGAGGAACAGGCAUUACUGAAAAAGCAUCACAGUGUUCAAAAAGACCCUAAGAUUGAUAAAAAGGGAGUUAAGAGAGCUGAGAAGCCUGGACUCUGUUCAUGGGAAACCAGAAAAUCUGACCCAUCAAUCUUUCAGAGCUCUGUUCAAAGCCCUACCGUUACUACCAGUAAUAGGGGUUCGAGAUUCUCAGUGUCCAAAGUCUCAGAAGACCAUUUAGUAGGAAAGAGAAAAAGCAUUGGUUGAAGAAGAGACCGAUCUUCGAUGUCUUCAAAAACAGUUCAGCUCUGCUUUAAAUCUGUAGUGAGGGAACAAGAUUAUCCACGUCUAAAGUAUUGAAGACUAUUUGUUAAAAUGAAAUAGCAUUGGUUGAAGAAAAAGCUUAUCUACAAGGUCUAAAAGACUGAUCUACAAGGUUGUAGAUCGAAAGGUUGAUCCACAAAUUCUUCAAAAGCAAUUCAGCUCUGCUUUAAAUCAGCAGUAGGGGAUCAAGAUUCUCAGUGUCUAAUGUAUCAAAGACUAUUUGUUAAAGAGAAAAAGCAUUGGUUGGAGGAGAGACUGAUCUACAAGGUCUGAAAGACUGAUCUACAGUGUCUUCAAAAUCAGUAGGAGGGGAUCAAGAUUCUCAGUGUCUAAAGUUUCGGUAGACUAUUGGGGAAAAGAAAGGGCAUUGGUUGAAGAAGACUGAUCUACAAGGUCUGAAAGACUGAUCUACAAUGUCUUCAAAAUGAGGAGUAGGAAUCAAGAUUUUCUGUGUCUAAAGUUUCACCAGACUAUUGGGGGAAAGAAAGGGCAUUGACUGAGAAAGAAUUAUCUACAAGGUCUGAAAGACUGAUCUACAAUGUCUUCAAAAUCAGUAGUAGGAGUCAAGAUUCUCAGUGUCUAAAGUUUCGGUAAACUAUUGGGGAAAAGAAAGGGCAUUGGUUGAGGAAGAAUGAUCUACAAGGUCUAAAAGACUAAAGAAAAGACUGAUCUACAAGGUUGCAUAUAGACUGGUCUAAAAUGUCUUCAAAACAAUUCAGCUCUGCUUUAAAUCCUUAAUUUUCAGAUGUGAAGAUCAUUAGAUUGAACUGAUACUAGAGGAGCUAAAAAGAGUAACUUCAAGACCUAAGAAUGUUGCUCUGAUAUGCAGACCGUUGUGAACUCAAGCUGCAAAAUUAUUAAUUUCUUUUCACAGUAUUGAAAAACAUUCAGGUAACACACAUGGUCUUGCAGACAGUCUGCCCAAGAUAAGGAUAUGAGGGUUGGCAGAGGAAAUGAAACCGAUUUCCUUCCAUGCCCUGGACCUUCACAGACUUUGGACAGUUUGGGUGUGGUACUGUGGUUUUAACCAUGGGUUUUUCAUUCUUUCUCUGGAUUUAUGUUACCAAAAUGACGGCCAGGACAAACAUCUGGCUAUGUUUGAAAUGGAAUACUAGCACCCUGCUAACUGUGCAGUAUAUACAAAGUAUGUUAUAUAAAGUUUUAAAGUAGUUUAAAAUAACGACUUUUCAAGCAGGUCUUACAAACACUACUUGGUCGGACCAGAUAGCCCUGCCCUGAACUCAAGCCAUUGGUUGAGCAAAUAUUGCUGUAUCGGGAUGCUCAAGCAAACAGACCAAAGUUUUGAUACCAUUGCAGUGUUUUACAGUAUUGUCAGAUGGAAACAGUUAAAUAUUAAGCUGAAAUUGUCAAUAUCCAUAUUUAGUAUAGAUAGAUGGAAUAUUAAAUGAUAUCUAUUGAACCGAGAACUUCCCUUUCAAAAUAGUUUGUGAAACAGAAUGCAGUAUGAGUAUAAUGCUGUUGUUGUCACAACCUCGUAUGUAAUCUGUGUUUUAUCCAGUUAUCAUUUACAAGUUAAGGUUUUAACCAAUUUUAUGUAAACAAACAGUACAUUCUGAUCCCGAUAAAAUAACUUUUGUUUGAGAAAGGGCUGUUAGAAUUGUGCGUUUGAUUGUGGUUUCAGUUUAUUUCUAGUCAA